rnacentral:rRNA from 1 species
AGUGAACGCUGGCGGUAGGCCUAGCACAUGCAAGUCGAACGGCAGCACAGUAAGAGCUUGCUCUUACGGGUGGCGAGUGGCGGACGGGUGAGGAAUACAUCGGAAUCUACUUUUUCGUGGGGGAUAACGUAGGGAAACUUACGCUAAUACCGCAUACGACCUACGGGUGAAAGCAGGGGAUCUUCGGACCUUGCGCGAUUGAAUGAGCCGAUGUCGGAUUAGCUAGUUGGCGGGGUAAAGGCCCACCAAGGCGACGAUCCGUAGCUGGUCUGAGAGGAUGAUCAGCCACACUGGAACGGAGACACGGUCCAGACUCCUACGGGAGGCAGCAGUGGGGAAUAUUGGACAAUGGGCGCAAGCCUGAUCCAGCCAUACCGCGUGGGUGAAGAAGGCCUUCGGGUUGUAAAGCCCUUUUGUUGGGAAAGAAAAGCAGCAGGUUAAUACCCCGCUGUUCUGACGGUACCCAAAGAAUAAGCACCGGCUAACUUCGUG